AAGAUUUACUAAAUUCAGUCAUGCUGACAGAACCUAAUGCUUUUUGGGUAAGGUAUCAAAUGGCGUGUAGAACUCCAGAACAGAAGGUGGCAGUAGUGUGCGAGCAGGGAGUGCAUUUACAAACUUUACUUCCGGAAGGUGCAGAAGAAGGAAGAGCAACACACAAAGACGCGGGAAGACGGACGAGUUGGGGAUGGAGACAUUCAAGACCAAGUUUCUUCUGUCAUCAAGCAAAACCUGUUUCAUCAACCGAGUGACUGCAGUAUAGGGUCAUCCACCAAAAGUAUUAACUAUCAACGUUGAACACUUGAACAAAAGUGGAUCAGGUUAUCUCUGAUUAUUAUUAUUUUUUAUUUCUGGCAAAAAAAUAGAUUUCAUCUAUCAGUUCACUUUACAAUUCUAUAGUGCAACAAAAUUUUCAAGAAGUGUUUGUUUACAUAGCAACUAGAUCUCUCCUUCACCAUCAUUGAUUGCUCUCUCUCUGGUCAUCACAGAAAUUCAAGACAAUUCAGAACGACAACAUUGAUGCGAAAAGAGAGUGCCUCCGUCAGGCGCUGUCAGACUACCUGAACAAAGACCCGGAGAAAGUGGUGAAAGAACGCAUGGACUCUGAUGUUGACAAGGGUUAAGCUGAAAUGGAGACUGUCUUCGGAGUAUUUGUGAUUCGCAGAGAAGGUGCAGAACGUGAUGAUGGUCCAGAGGAUGUGGGCAUCAUUUUGGAGGGGGUACAAGUCCUCAAUGAGCUGGAACAAACGUCAAAUGAUGUCAGAACUAUUUCCUCAAAAGAGAAACAAUAGGAACUAAUGUCAGACUGCUGAUGCUGUGGGGUUGUGAUCCAUCCAGCUGAAUCCAGAGAAGUCCACCAGCCUCUUUACCUACUCUGCUCUUUUCCUGUUUGCUCACUGUUGGUUCUCCUAUCUUUACCUGCAUGUUUGACCAAAUGAAUUGAAUAGACUUAUGGGAAAGGGUUGGGUUGAAGAUGAAUUAUUGUGCAAGCUGAUUGUGAAGAGUUUUGUGUUUAUGCUGAAUACUCUUGGUUUUUUGAGUAAUGAACGUCUGUGGGUUGACUGAGUUGCUCCUUUUGUGUUUCCUGUUAAUGAGAGCUACGUAGCGUGUGGUGCUGCCGCUGCUAUUUGUUUAGGUGCUGCUGUUCUGUGCCUCUGUAUUUACAUAUGUGUGUGUGUGUGUGUGUGUGUGUGUGUGUGGUUUGGUCACUGCUGUUUGUUCAGCUUCCUCUCAGUCCUGGAGGUUGUCUCCAGGAGAUGAGUAAAAUACUUUUUGUGUGUAUGUUUGCCUGGGGCAAUAGGAGCUAAUGUAAACAGGUGUUUGUCUCGUUUCCAGGUGGAGUUGGUUGAAUGAAUGCAGUGAUGCAGGGCAGAGUCCUUUCUGCUCCGGUUUUGCCAUCUUAGUAACUGUCAACAUAAAAAGAGAUCUAAAUGAUUAAAUGUCCUUAUAUUUUGUUUGCAAGAAUCAGGAACCUAAGGCCUUCAUGACUUGUAAAAGUUUUCUUUUGAACUUGUACAGCUUUUCCCCCCCAUGCUAAGCAUGCUAGGUCAUUGUUCUCCCCAAAAACUGGAAGAAAGUAGGUUAACAUUAGUGAUAGGAUAGGUUAAAAAACAUCUUUCUAAAGUAGAUAAAUAGCAUGUGAAAGUGGAAACAGGAAAGAUGCAUCAUCUCACCACUCAUAUUUACAGUAUUUAGGGGCCAUUAUCAGACUGUUAUCCAAUGAUAAGAUAGGGUAAAAUAUCCCACUGUUUCACGAUGAUGAUGAUGUUUAAAGAAGCAUUUAAAGCUGAAACGUAUUACAUUAUAUUGUUGUAAUCUAAUUUGUUACAGAAGAUGAAAAAACCAUAAACUGUACCAAAUGCUUUCGAGAGAGUAACAUGAGAUAUAAGUCAUGAUGUUCUGCUCAGCUAGAUUUGAAAUUAUUAACGAUCUGUGUUGUUCCACCCAGAGCAAAUCUCUGGAUUUAGGUGCAUCCAACUGUAGCCAUACUACAGGUCCUUCUCAAAAUAUUAGCAUAUUGUGAUAAAGUUCAUUAUUUUCCAUAAUGUCAUGAUGA